UAGGGAAUCUUCGGCAAUGGGGGGAACCCUGACCGAGCAACGCCGCGUGAGUGAAGAAGGUUUUCGGAUCGUAAAGCUCUGUUGUUAAGGAAGAACGAGUGUGAGAAUGGAAAGUUCAUGCUGUGACGGUACUUAACCAGAAAGGGACGGCUAACUACGUGCCAGCAGCCGCGGUAAUACGUAGGUCCCGAGCGUUGUCCGGAUUUAUUGGGCGUAAAGCGAGCGCAGGCGGUUAGAAAAGUCUGAAGUGAAAGGCAGUGGCUCAACCAUUGUAGGCUUUGGAAACUGUUUAGCUUGAGUGCAGAAGGGGAGGGUGGAAUUCCAUGUGUAGCGGUGAAAUGCGUAGAUAUAUGGGGGAACACCGGUGGCGAAAGCGGCUCUCUGGUCUGUAACUGACGCUGAGGCUCGAAAGCGUGGGGAGCGAACAGG
rnacentral:rRNA from 1 species